CGAGAGGUUGGCGCGGGCAAGCGCCUCGCCAACCCGGUCAGGUCCGGAAGGAAGCAGCCGCAACGAGCCCCGUUUGGGUCGCUGUCCAGCCUCUCACCU
rfam:alpha proteobacterium HTCC2255 scf_1100007007381 genomic scaffold, whole genome shotgun sequence.